rnacentral:lncRNA from 1 species
AAACAAUUAUAAUGAAAGUUUUUUCAUCGUUCUAAACUUAUGCUUCAGUUAUGGUCGUAAAAGAUUAAGAAAAAUUUUAUCGGUGCAAUUAUUCCACUGACACCUGCGAAAUUACCAAAAGAACUGACCAUCGCUGUUUAUUGUAUUUUUUUAAAUGUUCUAGUUAAACAAUCUAACACUUAA